AUGUUCACUUUGGCAGCACAUACAAUAAAAUUGAAGCAAUACAAAGAAGAUUACCACGGCCCCUGCACAAGGAUGACAAGCAAAUUCAUCAAGCAUGCCAUAUUUUU
rnacentral:snRNA from 1 species